GCAGAAAUGUAUGUUCUCUUCGGAGCAUUGGAGACAGGUGGUGCAUGGUUGUCGUCAGCUCGUGUCGUGAGAUGUUGGGUUAAGUCCCGCAACGAGCGCAACCCUUAUCCUUAGUAGCCAGCAGGUAAAGCUGGGCACUCUAGGGAGACUGCCAGGGAUAACCUGGAGGAAGGUGGGGAUGACGUCAAAUCAUCAUGCCCCUUAUGAUUUGGGCUACACACGUGCUACAAUGGCGUAAACAAAGGGAAGCGAAGUGGUGACAUGGAGCGAACCCCAAAAAUAACGUCUCAGUUCGGAUUGCAGGCUGCAACCCGCCUGCAUGAAGCCGGAAUCGCUAGUAAUCGCAGAUCAGAAUGCUGCGGUGAAUACGUUCCCGGGUCUUGUACACACCGCCCGUCACACCAUGGGAGUCGAUAACGCCCGAAGUCAGUGACCCAACCGAAAGGAGGGAGCUGCCGAAGGCGGGAUGGAUAACUGGGGUGAAGUCGUAACAAGGUAGCCGUAUCGGAAGGUGCGGCUGGAU
rnacentral:rRNA from 1 species